CAGAAACUCUGCUCUUUGAUCUUUUGGUCCUCAAUCUUCAGCAUGCUGUCUUGUUUCGGGAGCUGAUUAGAAAGAGAGGUACAAUCUGAAACUUGUUACCUGGUGUGAAUUGCUUGUUGCUUGCAUUGGGACCUUGGCAGCUCCAGUUUCCAGGUGGGACCACCAGCACCAUGGGACAGCCUUCCUAGUUGCCAUAAAUAUGUGUGCCAGACAAGGUACUGUUGGAAGCAGACAAGACUAUAAAGAUACAAAGAAAUAAUGUGUCCAAGGUCAAAUAGAUACAGGUGGUAAAUCUACAAUUGGAACGCAAGAAAAUGACAUCUGGAACAAAACCACCAUGACCUACAACUUCCUACAAAGACUUUGCACUGAGUAUGGGGCUGGAAGCUCCGUCUAUCAAGGUGACUAGACAUGACCCUGUACUCAAGAGUCCAGACACUGGGAAUAGCUCCUUGCUGUUGAGCUGACAAUCAAGACCAUACAAUGAACUACAACUUCACAGAGUAAGGAUACAACACAUUGAGUAAAGGAAUGAUUAAAAGAGAUU